rnacentral:lncRNA from 1 species
GGUUGUACUAUCUGGGCACUUUGCUUGUGACAAACAAAGACGACUUUGAUUGAAAGAGAUGAUCACAUCAACAAAGGUAGGGGAGAAUGGGGUUGUGUACACCUCCUAAAACCACUUCUCUUCUCUCUGUCGGGUUUACAACUCCUUGCAAGACAUCUCACAAAAUUGCUGGAAUUACGGAAAACUAUAUCCUGGAACCCACAUGGAACCCACAGUAAAAGAGGACCGCUGGAGGUGGAACGAGCUGGAGAAACACAAGGAGAACCGGCAUGGGGUGGGACGAGCUGGAGAAACACAAGGAGAACCGGCAUGGGGUGGAACAAGCUGGAGAAAC